rnacentral:rRNA from 1 species
AAUAUAAGAUGUCCCGCCGCCUGCCCCUGAUGACUAUUAGCUUUAACGGCCGCGGUUAUUUUGACCGUGCGAAGGUAGCGCAAUCACUUGUCUCUUAAAUGGCGGACCUGAUAUGAAUGGCAUAACGAGGGCUUAACUGUCUCCUCUUUUCAAGUCAAUGAAAUUGAUCUCCCCGUGCAGAAGCGGGGUAUAACAACAUAAAACGAGAAGACCCUAUGGAGCUUUACACAUCAAGCACUCCAUGUUAAUACAGCCCUCAAAAGGAAACAAACUAAAUGGAGUCUGCCCUAUUGUCUUUGGUUGGGGCGACCACGGGGAAACACAAAACCCCCACACGGAAUGGAAGCACACCUUCUAAAAUUAAGAGCCACAGCUCUAACGAACAUAAUUUCUGACCACAAUGAUCCGGCGACGCCGAUCAACGGACCGAGUUACCCUAGGGAUAACAGCGCAAUCCCCUUUUAGAGCCCAUAUCGACAAGGGGGUUUACGACCUCGAUGUUGGAUCAGGACAUCCUAAUGGUGCAGCCGCUAUUAAGGGUUCGUUUGUUCAACGAUUAAAGUCCUACUUGAUCUGAGUUCAGACCGGAGAUCUGAGUUCAGACCGGACA